UAUCGGGCUACCAAAAAAUUUUGCGUCUCCUAAUUGCUUGCAUUCAGUUGCAACAUUUAAGCCAACUCUAUCUUGAUUGUCCACUCCAUGAAUUGGCGCCUCCAACAAAUUCAAGCAAUGGGAGCACUGCAUUACAAGUAUCGAAUCUUCAAAUUAGUUGUUCCCAUUCAGAAUCAAAUUUCUUUCCAAUAUCUAGUUUCUUUAUCAUGUUUAACUCCUCCGCUAGUUUGCUUCAUUUAAAUUGGUAAGGAGAGCAAAUAAAAAAAGAAAAAUGGAUGAAGAAAGUAAAGUCGCCGUUUUUGAGACAAUACCCUGUUUUCAUAAAGUUUUGCCAAAAUAGCUCAUUUGGUAUUCUUUUUUUCACUUAAAUUGGUAUUCUUCAAUUUUUGUUUUCUAUUCCUCUGUUGUCUCAGCAACCAAACUAUGUAUGGAGAGAGAGAGACGCAUGCGCAUGAGGAGAUUGAGUCAGAGCAAUGAAUGUGUGGAAUGAAUGAAGUUGGGACUGUACUUUUGCCUUUUGUCUGGUAAUUUUCUUUUGGGCUUUUCCAUGUUUGCAGCAUUGGAGCCUUACCACCCACUAUUGAUGCUACAAUGACACACAGCUCCAUCCAACAUUUGAUUGAGAACAAGUUUGUGCAGGGCAACCCAAGUAUUGAAUGCCGCAUCAAACCAGGUAAAUUCGAAUUGAGAACUCAUGAUAUUGAGCCACAAUUCGGGUAGUUUCAGGUAUCGAGAAAGCAGGGCAACUCAACUAUUCCAAGCAGUUUCAGAUGGGAAAAGAUAUUGAAGUUUCAUGUAGCAGUGAGAGAACAUUCAAGCACUUGUGCAGCAGCGGGAGGAAACAACUCUGGGGGGCCAUCAUAUUUGCCAAAACAUGUCAACUCCAUUCAAUGCAUCCAAAUCAGAGUGAAGAAACUCUUCCAGUAAUCACUGAAGCAGUCAACAGAAAACUGGAUAAGUUGAUCAUUGAAGGAGAUUUUCUAGUGCUAACCACAGCAUUUCAAAAGCUCCCCCAUAAACUUCGUUUCUCAUAGACCAUAUAUGUUGAUACCAAUCACUGUCAUUCGCUAAUUGCGGGAAUUUCCACCUACAAAAACUCAUGAUAUCUCAGUUGGAGUUGUUUUAGCUAUAAUUUAUUCUGAGGGGUUCUAGCUGAGUAUUCAUAUCAAGAGCAUUUACAUAAUUUCAAGAUGAUCCCAGGCAUUUGGAGAACGUACGUUGGACCUGAUUUAGAACAAGUUAGUGCAGGGUAACCUAACUAUUUCAGGCAGUUUCAGUAGCUUUAGUACUUGUGCCAAGUUUGAAUGUGACCUGCAGUGCUAGUAUAUGUAUGGUUUUGGUGUUGGUUUUGGUCUGAGUUUUGCAGCAUUUGUGUAAUCUGGCAAAGGCAUUUAAAUCUUAGAUAUCAAGCUAGUGGCUUUACUCUGCAAGACCUCUUUUUCAUUAUUUUUGCUAAUGAUACUGUCAAUUUGUAUAUGCAAUUCUGGCUAUUGAG